GAUAAGGUGCCUGAUAAAAAGGAUUACGUUGAUACUGUAAACAUGCAUUUAUGCCCUUGUCU
rnacentral:tRNA from 1 species